GUGCUCGCUUUGGCACCACGUGUACUAAAAUUGGAAUGAAACAGGGAUUAGCAUAGGGCCUGCACACGGAUGACAUGCAAAUUCAUGAAGCAUUCUAUGUUUUA
ensembl:snRNA U6 U6 spliceosomal RNA